UGGGGAAUUUUGGACAAUGGGGGAAACCCUGAUCCAGCCAUCCCGCGUGUGCGAUGAAGGCCUUCGGGUUGUAAAGCACUUUUGGCAGGAAAGAAACGUCAUGGGUUAAUACCCCGUGAAACUGACGGUACCUGCAGAAUAAGCACCGGCUAACUACGUGCCAGCAGCCGCGGUAAUACGUAGGGUGCAAGCGUUAAUCGAAUUACUGGGCGUAAAGCGUGCGCAGGCGGUUCGGAAAGAAAGAUGUGAAAUCCCAGAGCUCAACUUUGGAACUGCAUUUUUAACUACCGGGCUAGAGUGUGUCAGAGGGAGGUGGAAUUCCGCGUGUAGCAGUGAAAUGCGUAGAUAUGCGGAGGAACACCGAUGGCGAAGGCAGCCUCCUGGUAUAACACUGACGCUCAUGCACGAAAGCGUGGGGAGCAAACAGG
rnacentral:rRNA from 1 species